rfam:Streptomyces albus strain DSM 41398, complete genome.
CACCGAGGAGGACGUGCAGGUCGUGCAGGCAUACUGAGCGGCGACCUUGGGCGGCAGGAGCCAGGAAGCCGGUGCGAAUCCGGCACGGUCCCGCCACUGUGACCCCGCCCCGCGGGGAAGCCAGGAACUGACCUGCCGCCUCUUCCACCG